rnacentral:rRNA from 1 species
UACGAAGGGAGCUAGCGUUACUCGGAAUCAUUGGGCGUAAAGCGUGCGUAGGCGGCUUUAUAAGUCGGAAGUGAAAGCCUGGGGCUCAACCCCAGAAUUGCUUUCGAUACUGUAAAGCUAGAAUACCAGAGGGGAUGGCGGAAUUCCUAGUGUAGAGGUGAAAUUCGUAGAUAUUAGGAGGAACACCGGUGGCGAAGGCGGCCAUCUGGCUGGUUAUUGACGCUGUUGCACGAAAGCGUGGGGAGCAAACAGG